rnacentral:misc_RNA from 1 species
AUUUAUUGGGACCCUUUCCUUCUUCAAACAAAGUGAAAAAUGUUAAUUAUUUUGGUAUUGAAUUGCAACAUGUAGCAGUUUUUCACCAAUUAUAGUCUAAAGCUAUAUUGUGCAAUUUAACGUACUGGAAGUGAAAACUUGAAGUCAAUUUGAUAGUGCAUUGACAAUUACCUCUGUACAUGCUCUUCCUAAUCAACCUUUCACACAUUUGACAAUUUGAUAGUGAACUGAAAUAAUGUGUAUUUAUAUUAUAUAUAUGUAGCUUUUAUUGUUUUAUGCUGUCAAAAUUGCAGUGAAAAACUAUUUUUAUGUGUUUAGAUUGAACCACAUUAUUCAAAUCUAUAACAUUAUAAGUCUGUUGUCAGUG